GCGGUCGGCCGGCAGAAUCGGCGCCGCCGUGAUGAGAUGCGGAGGCUCCGACGAGAUCGAUCUAUUCGCUGCUGUGCUCGGAGCUGCAUCUCCGUCGUCCCCGGAUCCGGGAAUAUUUGCCCAAAAUAUUGCAGUGGAGAGCAAUGAGCGGCUUUGACGGCGCGGCAGCUUGUAGCCUUGGCAUCAGGCGGCGCGGCUGAUGGUCUCAUCAUAUGGCGGUUUCGCCGCGGAGCAGCAGGAUGAUUUGGUGGCGACUGGAUGGCAACUGCGGAUGGUCUCAUCAGACAGCGGUGGUGUUGAGGUGGCUGGACCAUGGGCAGCACCAUCUUGGCACACGGGCUGUAGGUUAAAGAGGUGGCUUAACCUGCCAUCACGGUGAUCCCCGACCAUCAAUGCCUUCACUCUACUAUCAAGAGUCAACACUCUACGCUGGUACGGAAUUCUCGUGAAUCUAAUUUCCCAACCAUCUUCACUACGUAUGUGUUCAGUUCAUAACAUGUAUAUUCUUCAGUGCAGCUCCCAACUCUUUGCUCACUUCUGAUGCACUACAACACGUAAUUUUUCUUGUUUUAGUUUUAUUAGCAAAUACUCAUGGAGCUGCAAACUCGAUCAUAAUUUAUUUUAGUUACAAUGAGGUGGACUCAUACUAAUCCAUGUACCCAGCCUGCUAGUCUUUGCUGCAUUUUUUGUUUAGCAGUCGGGUAACCUUGUAUAGCAUGAUUUUGAUUGUUGAUUCAGGUUAUUUGCUUGUUAUUUUUGUGUGGCAUAAACGAAAUGGGAGUUGCAAUUGUAGCUAGUUAGAUCGGAAUGAGCUAACCAGUCACAAUAUUGCAAGACUUCAUGUGAUCGUAAUAGAAUUUGAAAAUAAGUAAACUAAAAAUGUAGUGAAUCUCUAUGAUGUUUCUACACUGUAUUCAGAAAAAAAGAUGCAUGGAAAUUUAUAUAGUAUAGAAGGAAAAAGUACCAUUAAAAGAAGUCAGGGGUGCUUCUUAUUUAUUGUUGCUGAUUUAUAAUGUAGCUACUUCAGUGUUCUUCCUUACUGAUUGGCUUUGGCUGGUUCUUUAUUAUCCCUGGUACUCCUCAAUACCAUCCUAUUUCUACCAAUUUGGAUGAGUAAGUGCCGGUUUUCUCUCGCGUUGUGUGUAAUUUUGGCGUGCAAUUGUUCAGUUUUACUCGACGUAAUUUUGUUGCUAGAAAGAGUGAAGCUUGAGAUAACUAUUUCUGCAUCAUUUCAAAAUUGUUAGUUGCAAUGGUAUCUCCAAUUUAGUGACAGUAGACAUGUUGGUUCUAUAAAUGCUAUUAUGAAAUGCAUACUGGUUUGGAAUUACCGAUUCAAACCCUACUUUUUAUUUAUGAUAAUCUAUCUUCAUGAGAUUUUUAUUUGUGGCUUUCUUUUCAUUACAGAGCGAUGAGAAUUACAGGCUCCUGAUAGGGUUUAAAAAUCAUUAUACAAGUGAUGGACCCAGGAUUCCUCUACCUUUCGCUUCAAUGAUCCCCAGGGUCCGCCGAAGGAUUGUAUUCUGAUACAUGUUCAAGGUCCUACUGCUUCUGGUGCUGCAGUGUCGUCUAUUGCUCGUGAGACUGCAGUCUCUUUCUCCUCGCCUCCUCAGCGAGUUCCACCAAGGUCAUCAAAUGACCCUAAAAAGAGAUAGGAGAGUCUGGCGGCAUUGGUGGAUGAUGAUCAUUUUGUUGGUGUUUCUCAAAGCUAUCAGUGAUUUCCUCUGACGAUCAAGGCUACUAGAGUUGCUGUUCGGAAGAUCAUAAAGUCUAAAUCAUCACUUUAUGGACCCCGACAUUGUGAGGUUCUUAGAUCGAGUUCCUUGGCAAGUUCACUUCAGCAGUCUAAGCUAGCGCUGUGGUUGGUACCAAUUGGUUUUGCUCUUUUUGGUAAAAGUCUCCUCUGUUCAUGAAGUAUAAUGGAUCUUUAUAUGUAAGGUGUGACUUUUCUACAAUGAAGAAGAUAAUUUUUGUUCAUGAAGUAUAAUGGAUCUUUAUAUGUAAGGUGUGACUUUUCUACAA